AUGGGAAAAACGGCAGAAUGUCCUCAAUGUCCUCGGCAGGGAAUCCCAUAUCAGAAAGACAAGAGAGCUCAGAAUUGCCCUCGGCAGAGAAUCCCAUAUCAGAAAGACAACAGAGCCCACGCCUGUGGUAGAAAGUCCCAUAGUAGAAUGAGAACAGAGCUCAAUGCCCUUGAAAGCCCCAUAUCAGAAUGUAAACAGAACUUGAGAAAUUCCUCCACCCCUUCUGAAAAUCCCCUAAACCAGCCUAUAAAAAACCCAGCUGUAACCUACUUCGAGGUCCAAGUCCCUGCUCUGCUGUGUCGGGUAUACUUGGACCCAAGCUGGAGCUUGCUAAUAAACCCUCGUGAGUUUGCAUUGGUGUCGGCUCCUUGGUGGUUUCCCGGAUUCGCAAUCUUGGGCACAACAGAGAGAACUUUGGUCUGGUGUGGGUGCAGACAGAUCACAAUGAAAAAGUAUUUGUUUACAUCAAGAAAAAUGAUUGUCCGUGGUUCAAAAUAUUGUUUCUUCAUAAGAGGUUUCAGGCCACACAAAAUCUGAAUCCACUCUUGCUUUCAGCAAUCCUGCUAAUAAAAAUUAUUCAUCACUCAAAACCUAGAUCAAAUGUCACUUCCUUUAUAAACUAUUUCCUGAAUCCCUAAUUAGGUAAGAGCUACUUUAGAAUUGUACAGUGAUUUGUUUGAACACCUUAAAAUCAUUAUUAAAAUGUGCUUCAUUUUUUUUUUUUUCUGAGUGUCCUGCAUUAUUUGUAUUAUCACCUGUCUUCAUUGUUGGAGAAAUGUAAGUCUUAAGCAGAAAAGGUUGGCAGGGAAGGCACUGGGAUCUGGAAAUUGAUGCAGCCCAUUGGGUUUCCAGGAACAGACCCAGGAGCACGGUUUCAGGUAGACAAUGCUGCUGGUGUCAAAGAGGCUAGAUGGUAGGUGAAUCACAGGGACACUGAAGCUCUGAAGCUCUUUGGCUUAUCGUAAACAGCAAGCUGAUGGUCUUUAUCAAGUCGAUUUUUAACACUACUCAUGAAGGCUCCAGUAGAAUUCAAAGUUAGAGGCAAGAAUCAAUCUCCCAAAAGACAAAAGUAUGCAAGGCCAGAUAUCAACCUUAGAGAAAUGCAUAGCGAGCAACAAUCUUAGGGUUUUAGUCACUGUACCCAGAAGAACACUAAUUUCUAACAGAAGAGCAAUGAGUUACAGCUACUGCACCAAGUGGGCUAACUUGAUUACCAUCUGGAUACUUUGCAUUCUGCAUACGCUAGAAUGGGUAAGAGCAUAACCAGAGAACACUGACUCUGCUAAUAGGGGUGGAGUGGUCAGAGCCCUGAGAAGGGCACUAUGAUUGAGGAGUAGGCCAGAUAAUUGUUUGUGAUGUUCUUUGAUGGCAGGAACUGUGGGUUCACUUGAAUCUUCCUAGAAAAAUGUUGAGCACUGGGUAAAUACUUGGUAUUUGUAAAAUUAAAAGGAAAAUGGUUUUUAGACAUCUCCUAUCCUGUGUACACUCCAGAGCUUGGCAUUGCCUUUCUUGAAAUGUGGCUCCCAGAAAUCAACAACUGGCAUGUAACAGUGAGAAUUUAUACUUCUCUAGAUCUUGCUGCAAUACUUUAUAAAUACUAUGUAAGAUUAUAUCAUUAUUUUAUGGUAGAUAUGGGUAUUAUUGGUUUAAUGAACAUCAUGAGCACCUAAUAUGCUUAUAGUUAAGUAAGGUUUCUUUGUUUUCAAAAAGGUAUAAUUUCAACUUGUUUCUCUGAUCUUAGACAUGUAAUUGAUUUCUUCAACCAAAAUAGAAAGAGAGAGAGAGAGAGAGUACAAACAGGGGGAGAGGCAAAGGGAGAGGGAGAAGCAGACUCCCUGCUGAGCAGGGAGCCCACGUAGGGCUUGGUUCCAGGACUCAGAGAUCAUGAUUUGGGUUGAAGGCAGAUGCUUAACCGACUGAGCCACCCAGGCACUCCCAAUAAUGUCCUUUGAUGAUUUUUUCCCUAUCAUUAAAGAAUCCAGUUUAGGAUCAGGUAUUUCAUUUAAUCGAUAUGUUUCUUAUUUGACUUUACUCUGAAAAUUUUUCCACUGGUUUUUAUGACAUUGGUAUUUUUGAAGAAUUUAGCAUUUUUUUCCUGUUUUCAAAAUGUGACUUUCCUUAUUUUGAGAUUGCCUAAUGUUUUCUCAUGGUUAAAAUCAGUUUAUACAUUCCAGGAUGGACCAGAAGAGAUGUUAUAGUCUUCGUGUAUCAUUUCUGGAAGAACAUCAUGGCUAUCUGCUCCUCAUUGGUAUAUUGAUUUUGAUUACUGGGUAAAAUGUAUAGUUAUUAUUUUUUUAUUGCAACUGCUAGAAAUCUAUAAGCAGACACUCUAAGAUGAUGCAAAUUUGAUGGUCCUCAUCGAAAUUUCCCCUGUGUUUAGAAUCCAUAGAUAAUUCUUACCUGAAACAAUCUUUACUCCGAAGGUGCUAAAUGGUGAUUUUUCUAACUCUGCCUUUCCCAUCACAUUUACCCUUUGGCUCUCAAAAUUAUACUGCAAGCAAGAGCUUUCUCUUCCUAUUAAUUAAUUAAUUAAUUAAUUAUUAAUUUGGAAUCAUGAAUUCCUAUUUUUGCAAUGUCUAUAAUUAAUUACCAACCUUAAUUAUUUUGAUAUUUAAAUUAUCCCUGUUUUGGCUGGUAGGAGCUCCUUCAUAUCUUUGGGACAAAUACUCACUGGUUUGUUGUUGUUACAAGUUGUUUUAACAUUUACUUAUUUGAGGGAAUAAUAAAAUAUCCUGGGUUCAUUUUGUUCCCUUCAUGGUACAGGUCUGCCAGCCAUUACUCUGAAAAGAACUAUUUCUAUUUGGCACAGAAUAGUAUUAGAGAGCAAGAUGUUAUUUAUUUUUGAUAGAGAUCAAUAUCAUUUUUCUAAAUGAAUUAUUCCUGGAAUCUACCUCUUUUCCUUUUGAAAACAAGAAUAUCUCCCUUAUCCAGUUCUCCUACAACUUCUUCAUAAUCACUGUUGUUCUCUUAGAGAUUAUAUUAACAGGAUCCUUUAUACUGGAAGAUGUGUUUCACUUUGAUCCAGUGACUUGAACUCAUUUUCUAUUGUUGGAUACUUUUUCUUUUUUAAAGAUUUUAUUUAUUAAUCAUGAGAGACACACAGAGAGAGGCAGAGGCACAGGCAGAGGGAAAAGCAGACAGAGAGAUGGAGCAGGAGAUCCAUGCAGGGAGCCGGAUACAGGACUCGAUCCCCGGGCUCCGGGAUCAUGCCCUGAGCCAAAGGCCGACGCUCAACCACUGAGCCACCCAGGUGUCCCUAUUGGACACUUUUUUAUUAGCCCUGUUUUCAAGCUCAAUAUCUUCAUUACAAUGCAGCUUUCUUUCUUGUGUUGCCUGUAUUAUGCUGAAUAAUGAGAAUAGAAACCAAGUAUGAUAUGAUUUGAUUAGGUUUUUCUGGCACCCUUUAAAAAUUGAAUAUAACAUACAUAUGAUAAAGUACCCAGAUCUUACAUGCACAAUUCAAUGAAAUUUUACAAAUUAAGUAUACCUGUGUAACAAUCAUUAAUAGCAAACUAUAAAAACUUACAAGCAACCCAGAAGCUUCCCUAAUGCACUAUCUCAUUAUUUUUCUCAAAACAACCUUUUCUUUCAAUGUUUGUAGUUUUCAUUGUGUAAACCUUGUACUUCUUUUGUUAAAUUUAUUCCUGGGUAUGUUCGAUGCUUGAUGCAACUGUAAAUGAAAUUGUUUUCUUAAUAUAAUUUUAUUUUUUUAAAGAUUUUAUUUAUUUAUUCAUGACUGACAAAGAGAAAGAGGCAGAGACACAGGCAGAGGGAGAAGCAGGCUCCAGGCAGGGAGCCGGAUGUGGGACUCCAUCCUGGGACUCCAGGAUCACUCCAUGGGCCAAAGGUGGCGCUAAACCCCUGAGCCACCUGGGCUGCCCUCUUAAUAUAUUUUUAAUUGUUCAGUGCUAAUGUAUAGAAAUAAAAUACAUUUUUUC
rnacentral:lncRNA from 1 species